CUUUCUGAAUCGGCAACAGAUAUUGCUUUUAUUUAAAUACAUUCUAGAAAUGCAAAACCUUUAUAGGAAAUUAACAGAAAUUUAAAAAUAAAUUAUAAUCUCUUUACAAUUAAAUCAUCAAGAGUAGUUUAAUAGUGAUUUGCUUCGAUGGCUGAAGCAAAUUAUUUUACAAUGUAUUACUAUUUUUUGCCAUUUAUACUUCUGUUAGCUCUCGUGAAGUCACUAAAACAUCUUCACUGUAGUGCAUUCCAUUUUGUCAUCUGUGUAUUUAAUGUAUUUUUUUUCUAUGUAUGAGAAAACAAUUUAAAAUAUUGCAACGUCCAUGUUUGUAAGUAUUAAAAAAUCGUGUCUGUCAUGAUGAAGUUCUGCAGUUUAUCUCUCCAGAUCCUUUUGAUGGCCAGAGAUAUUGCUGAGAGUUUGUACAAAUAAUCAUGUCAAAAUGCUGGAAAAAGUCUAAUUCUUUCUGUCAUUUGCAUAACAGUAUCUAGGGUGGAUAAAAAUUCUGGGAGGCUAGUACCCCACCAUCUUUAACCUGUUCCUGUUCCAGCCACUACUGGAACAAAUAUAUUUAAUAGAGUUGUCACAAUUUCAUUUCCAAAUUUCUGCUUUGUUGGAGAGGGGAGGCUUCACAUUUAAAUUGCACAAGUCCUCAAACAUGACAAAGAUAUGUCAAGUGCAAUGACAUUUCAUCAUAAUAUUGUGAUAGUAGAAUUUCUCACUCACGUGUUGAUAAAAGAUGAUUUUGUUUAAAAUGUUUUCAUACCCUUAGUUUUAGUCUGCUUUUUGUUUUAUUUAAUUUUUUUUUACAAACAUGAGCUCUAAACCCCAGUGACAUGGUGGCACUCCAGAACGCAUGACAUGCGUUUGCACCUACAUCAAAUAUAUGAUCAUCACUGAAGAGGAGUAAGCCAUAAUCAAUAAUGUAUAAAGUCCAUAUUUGGCAACUACCUCGCAUUUCAUGAUUAAUAGACUCAAUAAAACCUUAUAGUGUAGCAAAGUUUAAUGUUGCUCUUAUCCUACAUCUUUCAGCACCCUGUGUGUAACUGCUGUUUGACUGAAUGUUCAAUUUAUUCCCAAAAAAUAUGAAGAUUAAAGUAGUAAACUGGUACACAUUGCCAAGACCCUCCCAGUGGCUCCUUUUUAAUUAAUGAUGUUGCUAAAGGGCAGCUGUCACUUCUAUGGAAAUUACACUAUUGAAUAAAACACUGAAAAAUCACCUUUAACUUGUGUUAACCUUUUUUCAUGUAAUAAGCUAUAAUUUUUUGAAACUUAUAUUGAGGAUUUAGCAGAUUACUUCACUACGCAGUCCAGUCAAGGCACAGCCUGGCACACAUGUUAUUAAUUUCUCCUCUUCUCGUCUUCUCUAUAUUCUUUCUCUAUGCUGCCGCCUGCUCAUGCCAAUGAUUAGCAAGUUGUCAUGAUGGAGGCGCCCAGCUGUAGAUUAAAGAGGGGUGGAUUUCUAAAAUUUAUUUUAUUUUCCACACCUCACAAAUACAUAUUUGUCAAAAACAGGAGAUAUGCAAACAUACUAUUACAAAUUCUAGAAUGCAACAGUUUUGAUGUACACUUUGAAAUCUAUAGGAUUUUCCAGAUGGUGCUAAAACAGCUAGUUACGUUGUUUCUUUAAACUAUCAUCGUUCGAAAUCAUGUGAUUGUUUAAACUCACUAACCUCUAUGUAGAAAUGUACAUAUUAUUUUGACUAAAUCUAAAGAUAUUUGACUUUGAAUUGUAUAUCCUUGGAGAGAGUAAAUACAUUAAUAUCCAUUUAAUUGUAUUCUUUUUCCAAAUCUUUUUCCUAAUUAAUUUUUCUUCAUCACGAGCAGUGUAUAUUUUACUUCAGAAAGUCAAAUAUAAAAAACUAUAUUUCUGGAAAAAAAAAAACAUCAGUUGCUUGAUAAUGCUGUAGUUAUUCCCAAAUUGUACUAUAUGUGUGUGAUAAAAGCAACAUUAAGGUAAAGGGAUUUUAUUUUCUGUACAGAAAUAUGAAAUAGCUUCAGUUUAAAUCUAUCUAUAAUUUUAUAUCACUCAUUUUCAUUUUUUUUGUUCUUGGAACUGGCAGCACCAGGAUUUAAAUGAUCAUUUUACAACUACUACCUGAAGAUAUCACAAUAAAAAAAAAACAAAAAAAAAACAAUGAAAAUAAAAUAACUACAUUUUAAUUCCAAACUCCAUAGUAACAAGGGGUUAAGCAAAUUAAUUUAUAGCAUGACAGUCUUGGCAAAUUGCCAGAAACAGUGAAAGAAAGAAUAAUGGCAGUCACUAACAUACCUAGAAUGUCAUCGCCCAUUAAGGAGUUAAUAUUCAGGAAUAUAAUCUAUGUUAUAAAUAACUUCAAAGAUACAUUUAUUUCACAUAUGCCAGCUGAACAAUACCAUAAUGUCACUUUCAUAAGUAGAAUGUGUUUAAGAACUGAGAACAGGAACAGACUGAUAUAUUUUACUAUCCGUGCUUUAUCCACAGUCAAGUGAUGUGUGUUAAUAACUUGUGAUUGAUAAACACAAAUGCACAGCUGUUGCAGAAUCAAAACUAUAAAGAAACAUAUUUUUCACAGAUCUUUUAGUAUAGUGUAUAACGCAGUGGAAUGGCUUUUUAUAAUGUAUAGCCAACAUUUGAUGUCUAUAUAGCCAUCUCACCAUAUUGGAUCAUACGACUGCAGAGAUUCAGGUUAGCUUGUCUGCACAAGGGACAAUUAACUCCUAUAUGCUUAAACCAUGUAUCAGCAUAAUGUAUUUUGAACUGUGCGGUAUUAGCAUUCUAAUAAAGUUUAUUAAAAAUUUAA